rnacentral:rRNA from 1 species
GACGAACGCUGGCGGCGUGCUUAACACAUGCAAGUCGAACGGAAAGGCCCUGCUUUUGUGGGGUGCUCGAGUGGCGAACGGGUGAGUAACACGUGAGUAACCUGCCCUUGACUUUGGGAUAACUUCAGGAAACUGGGGCUAAUACCGGAUAGGAGCUCCUGCUGCAUGGUGGGGGUUGGAAAGUUUCGGCGGUUGGGGAUGGACUCGCGGCUUAUCAGCUUGUUGGUGGGGUAGUGGCUUACCAAGGCUUUGACGGGUAGCCGGCCUGAGAGGGCGACCGGCCACAUUGGGACUGAGAUACGGCCCAGACUCCUACGGGAGGCAGCAGUGGGGAAUAUUGCACAAUGGGCGGAAGCCUGAUGCAGCAACGCCGCGUGCGGGAUGACGGCCUUCGGGUUGUAAACCGCUUUCGCCUGUGACGAAGCGUGAGUGACGGUAAUGGGUAAAGAAGCACCGGCUAACUACGUGCCAGCAGCCGCGGUGAUACGUAGGGUGCGAGCGUUGUCCGGAUUUAUUGGGCGUAAAGGGCUCGUAGGUGGUUGAUCGCGUCGGAAGUGUAAUCUUGGGGCUUAACCCUGAGCGUGCUUUCGAUACGGGUUGACUUGAGGAAGGUAGGGGAGAAUGGAAUUCCUGGUGGAGCGGUGGAAUGCGCAGAUAUCAGGAGGAACACCAGUGGCGAAGGCGGUUCUCUGGGCCUUUCCUGACGCUGAGGAGCGACAGCGUGGGGAGCGAACAGGCUUAGAUACCCUGGUAGUCCACGCUGUAAACGGUGGGUACUAGGUGUGGGGUCCAUUCCACGGGUUCCGUGCCGUAGCUAACGCUUUAAGUACCCCGCCUGGGGAGUACGGCCGCAAGGCUAAAACUCAAAGGAAUUGACGGGGCCCCGCACAAGCGGCGGAGCAUGCGGAUUAAUUCGAUGCAACGCGUAGAACCUUGCCUGGGUUUGACAUGGAUCGGGAGUGCUCAGAGAUGGGUGUGCCUCUUUUGGGGUCGGUUCACAGGUGGUGCAUGGCUGUCGUCAGCUCGUGUCGUGAGAUGUUGGGUUAAGUCCCGCAACGAGCGCAACCCUUGUUCACUGUUGCCAGCACGUUAUGGUGGGGACUCAGUGGAGACCGCCGGGGUCAACUCGGAGGAAGGUGGGGAUGACGUCAAGUCAUCAUGCCCCUUAUGUCCAGGGCUUCACGCAUGCUACAAUGGCUGGUACAGAGAGUGGCGAGCCUGUGAGGGUGAGCGAAUCUCGGAAAGCCGGUCUCAGUUCGGAUUGGGGUCUGCAACUCGACCUCAUGAAGUCGGAGUCGCUAGUAAUCGCAGAUCAGCAACGCUGCGGUGAAUACGUUCCCGGG